rnacentral:snoRNA from 1 species
GCCCCGUGAUGAGAACAAGGCAAAUACGAGCUGAUUGGCUGGGAUCUUGUUCUCUUGCUCUCUGACUGGUAGGUAAUCUUGGCAGAGCAGUGGAGAUUGGCUGCGCUGCUGCAAGGGCCCACCCAUAUUGAUGCUGGCUGUCAAGCAUAAUACAAUUCUCCUUUAGAAAUGGAUAUUUGUGGAUGAUUUGGCAGCUUACAGUGUGUGUGUGUGUGUGUGUGUUUGAGUAUGUCCCGUGUGUAAAUGUGUCAGUCAGCAAAGAGUCACAUCUCCUAAAAUGGGCCCACCAGCUGUGAAUGUUUUCUUUGGUAAUCUGAGGGCA